GUGGGGAAUAUUGCACAAUGGGCGCAAGCCUGAUGCAGCAACGCCGCGUGAGGGAAGACGGUUUUCGGAUUGUAAACCUCUGUCUUUGGUGACGAAGAAGUGACGGUAGCCAAGGAGGAAGCCACGGCUAACUACGUGCCAGCAGCCGCGGUAAUACGUAGGUGGCAAGCGUUAUCCGGAAUUACUGGGUGUAAAGGGAGCGCAGGCGGGUCAGCAAGUCAGCGGUGAAAUGUAUGGGCUUAACCCAUGAACUGCCGUUGAAACUGUUGAUCUUGAGUGGAGUAGAGGCAGGCGGAAUUCCGAGUGUAGCGGUGAAAUGCGUAGAUAUUCGGAGGAACACCAGUGGCGAAGGCGGCCUGCUGGGCUCUAACUGACGCUGAGGCUCGAAAGUGUGGGGAGCAAACAGG
rnacentral:rRNA from 1 species